rnacentral:rRNA from 1 species
CCACCUACGGGACGCAGCAGUGAGGAAUAUUGGUCAAUGGGCUUACGCCUGAACCAGCCAAGUCGCGUGAGGGAAGACUGCCCUAUGGGUUGUAAACCUCUUUUGUCAGGGAGCAACGCCGGCUACGUGUAGCCGGACUGAGAGUACCUGAAGAAAAAGCAUCGGCUAACUCCGUGCCAGCAGCCGCGGUAAUACGGAAGGUCCGGGCGUUAUCCGGAUUUAUUGGGUUUAAAGGGAGCGCAGGCCGCCCCUUAAGCGUGUUGUGAAAUGCCGCGGCUCAACCGUGGCACUGCAGCGCGAACUGG